ensembl:lncRNA
CUUUUUGAGCAUAUCUUGUUUACUUUUUCAGCAAUGUGCUUCAUUAUCAUUGAGCCAUUACAAUGUUAUAUUACUCAGACUAUACAAAUUAUCUUAAUACACAUGUAUGACCUUUUUCUGUGCGGCUUGUACCUGUGGAGAUGCCUGACAAUCUGUGGUUGUUCACCAGAGUCACUGAGGGUUGUUGCUGUGGUCACAAUGAAUGGAUAACAUGAUCUAAGCAUGCCUGAAUUAAGUGAGGCGUGCAAAACUACUUGGGCUACUGGAGUGGCUGACCUAAAGAGAAGUGACUACUGGCCUGCAACACUUCACUUUGCCACAGUUUAUGCCACAGAUGUCUUUUUUCAUUUGAAGAAAUGAAGAUGGCAGCACCAGGACUGUCCUGCCAAGCAUUUUUAAGAAUGCUGGAUCAGCGAACUGUCCACUUUGUUCAUACUGGCAAGAUCUCAGCAGACAGUUUUCAGAAAAGUUUUUUUGAGUGGGAGGCUGUGCGAUUCAAGGUGGACAAUAUCUGGAAGGAAGAGCCCUUCAUCUGUCCUGUGUGCACCCCUGAUAUGCUCACAGUUUCAGUAGAUGGAAUCCACAAGCAUUACCGUUUCAAGAAUGCAGCUAGAUACUUGGAACAGGCCAUCUUUGAAGGCGUCCUUGUAGCCAAGGAUGAAGACGUGACAAUAUUUGUGGACCAUAUUCACAACAAAACCAAACAUGUAAAAUUGCAGAUGAUAAUUAGAUGACAGGACUACAAUAACCUCCUACUGAAGAGUUUGUUUAGGAGAGUCUUAUUUUCGUCAACCAUUUUCCACAAUGUAGGUCAGUGGAAGAGGUGCUUGUGGAGGGGAGUGGUCAGCAGCCAGAAAGACGUCCCAAAGAUCUGUCAGCAAGGUAGACAAGGAGCGAUUGGAGCUUGUGGUGUGUCGGCACGGAGUGCUGCUCUGUGCUUUAAAUAUGUACAAGGCAGAGAUUUUUGCCUAUCCCCUGUACCUGCAACAGUAAGAUGUUAAGACUUUUGAUGUCCCUUUUUAUUUCUCUUGAAUCUCAUUUGUCUUUAUAUUAUUGUAUCUGACCUUAUGCUGUACUCAACAGUAAAAUGUUGUUCAUGGUGUAUUGUAUAAUAAAAUACGGUAAUUAUUGGGUGUUUUGAAAAUAAACAAUUUUAC